rnacentral:rRNA from 1 species
GACAGAGGGUGCAAACGUUGUUCGGAAUUACUGGGCGUAAAGCGCGUGUAGGCGGCUUGGCAAGUCGGGUGUGAAAGCCCUGGGCUCAACCUAGGAAGUGCACUCGAAACUGCUUCGCUGGAGUGUCGGAGAGGAAAGCGGAAUUCUCGGUGUAGAGGUGAAAUUCGUAGAUAUCGGGAGGAACACCAGUGGCGAAGGCGGCAGCCUGGACCGAUACUGACGCUGAGGUGCGAAAGCGUGGGGAGCAAACAGG